rnacentral:rRNA from 1 species
AGAUGGCGACCGGCGCACGGGUGAGUAACACGUAUCCAACCUGCCGAUAACUCGGGGAUAGCCUUUCGAAAGAAAGAUUAAUACCCGAUGGCAUAAUUAGACCGCAUGGUCUUAUUAUUAAAGAAUUUCGGUUUAUCGAUGGGGAGUGCGUUCCAUUAGGCAGUUGGUGAGGUAACGGCUCACCAAACCUUCGAUGGAUAGGGGUUCUGAGAGGAAGGUCCCCCACAUUGGAACUGAGACACGGUCCAA